AUUGAACGCUGGCGGCAGGCCUAACACAUGCAAGUCGAGCGGCAGCGGGAAAGUAGCUUGCUACUUUUGCCGGCGAGCGGCGGACGGGUGAGUAAUGCCUGGGAAAUUGCCCAGUCGAGGGGGAUAACAGUUGGAAACGACUGCUAAUACCGCAUACGCCCUACGGGGGAAAGCAGGGGACCUUCGGGCCUUGCGCGAUUGGAUAUGCCCAGGUGGGGUUAGCUAGUUGGUGAGGUAUGGCUCACCAAGGCGACGAUCCCUAGCUGGUCUGAGAGGAUGAUCCACCACACUGGAACUGAGACACGGUCCAGACGCCUACGGGAGGCAGCAGUGGGGAAUAUUGCACAAUGGGGGAAACCCUGAUGCAGCGAUGCCGCGUGUGUGAAGAAGGCCUUCGGGUUGUAAAGCACUUUCAGCGAGGAGGAAAGGUCAGUAGCUAAUAUCUGCUGACUGUGACGUUACUCGCAGAAGAAGCACCGGCUAACUCCGUGCCAGCCGCCGCUGUAAGAC
rnacentral:rRNA from 1 species